CUGCGAUUUCUGCGACUUACCACCGUAUGAAAAAGUUACAUCUGUCAACACAGAAAAUUGCAUCUCAACAAACCUUUCAUUGAUAAGUACCUGAACUACAUUUCAGUCACUCAGUAAAGUGAUAACUCAAAAUAUCAUUGUCAACAGAUCUGAAGAAAUUGCCACUGCGUCUUUAGACCGUUUUCGUCAGACGAGAGACACAGUUCUGACUCUGAUUACUGGUUGCUGUACGUAUCUAUCCACAUCAAGGCUGUUUUUGAGAGAGACUCGUGAAGAUUCAAGACAGCUCUUAGAGGAUUUGCAGUUUAAAAGUGAAAUAAUUGUGAAAUAAGUGUGUGAAUGAUUAAACUGUGUUUUAUUGAAGUAGUUGUGCGAUUUUAAAGGAAUAAUAAAU